AGGACGAACGCUGGCGGCGUGCUUAACACAUGCAAGUCGAGCGGUAAGGCCUUUCGGGGUACACGAGCGGCGAACGGGUGAGUAACACGUGGGUGAUCUGCCCUGCACUUCGGGAUAAGCCUGGGAAACUGGGUCUAAUACCGGAUAUGACCUCAGGUUGCAUGACUUGGGGUGGAAAGAUUUAUCGGUGCAGGAUGGGCCCGCGGCCUAUCAGCUUGUUGGUGGGGUAAUGGCCUACCAAGGCGACGACGGGUAGCCGACCUGAGAGGGUGACCGGCCACACUGGGACUGAGACACGGCCCAGACUCCUACGGGAGGCAGCAGUGGGGAAUAUGCACAAUGGGCGAAAGCCUGAUGCAGCGACGCCGCGUGAGGAUGACGGCUUCGGGUUGUAAACCUCUUUCAGCAGGACGAAGCGCAAGUGACGGUACCUGCAGAAGAAGCACCGCUAACUACGUGACCAGCAGCCGAC
rnacentral:rRNA from 1 species